rnacentral:rRNA from 1 species
UACGGAUGAUGCGAGCGUUAUCCGGAUUUAUUGGGUUUAAAGGGUGCGCAGGCGGCGUGUCAAGUCAGCGGUAAAAUGUCGGGGCUCAACCCCGGCCGGCCGUUGAAACUGGCGUGCUCGAGUUGGAGAGAAGUAUGCGGAAUUCGUGGUGUAGCGGUGAAAUGCAUAGAUAUCACGAAGAACCCCGAUUGCGAAGGCAGCAUACCGGCUCCACACUGACGCUGAGGCACGAAAGCGUGGGUAUCGAACAGG